CCUUUGAACUUUUGAUGUGGUGUUGAGAAUCCGAACGGUUUUAUACUCCUAAUAGUGAGUCAGUACUCGCUUUGACCUACAUGGGCCAUUCCUACCUCCGCUCUACCCCGGUAUCUCGGGGGAAAACGCGUCCUCCCUCAUCCAGACUCGGCUUCCGUUGUUAACACCGGCGAAGGUCUCGGCUUCGGUGGACGCCUCAGCUACAGUACCAGCGGGGUCUCGCCUUAGGUAGCGGAUCCGGUGUUCUCAUCCUCGACGACAGCGCCUCCAGUAGAGACUUGGAUUUGACUUGAAAGAUACCUACCAUUCUACAGGAGGGAGUUAGAAGAUCGUCGGCCACGAGCAACCGGAGAGGAGUGAUAAGUCGACAACUAACAUA
rnacentral:rRNA from 1 species